GUUGAGGUCUAUCCCGAUUGUCUUUUUCUGCAGACCCACAUCAUUGGAGAUGCCUCGUUGAAUAACUAUGUUGUUUGCUUUACUCAUAGAACUAUGUUACGUCUGUGGACAUAACUAUAAGAGAGAG
ensembl:snoRNA small nucleolar RNA SNORA18